UGCUUUUCUUUUUGAGAAAAAAUUCUUGCUUAAUUAUCAUCACUUCAGCAGUCAUCAUCACUCAGCGAGCAGCAGAAAGGAAAAAUGGCGAUUUUGCCAACGCCAUUGCACAUUACAAGAAGUGAUUUUGUCCAUCCCAAUCCCUAUCUCGUCAGCGUGCCGUCGAAGCCCACACGCAGCUGCGCUCGCCGUCCGUUUGUUGUCACCUUUUCUUACAAACCCAGGAACGAAAUUACUGGUAAUGACAAGAAAAGGGAGUUCCUUGAGCAGUACGGUCUUAAUCCCGAUGAGUUCUUACCUAAACCAUCUCGGAAGGUAAAGAGGAGAGGAGAGCAACGAAAUCCAGAAGCGAGAAACAAUACACCACUGCAGGAGCCAAAGCCGCCGCGAGAGACACACAAACUGCUUCAGGUACUUGGAGGUACGGCUCGGAGGAAAAAGUUACUCUCACCGAAGAGUAUGGACGUGCGGCCUAUGAUGGAAGUUGUAAAAGGAGCAGCUUUUUCAAUUUUACAGGCAGCAGGUGGCUCGCCUCAGUCUCUGAGGCCCGGGCGCUGGUUAGACUUGUACAGCGGCACAGGAUCCGUUGGUAUUGAAGCUAUCAGUAGAGGAUGUUCUGAGGCUCACUUUGUGGAGAUGGAUCCUUGGGUUAUCUCGGAUGUGCUAAAGCCUAACUUGGAGUCAACUGGAUUCCUUGAGGCUUCGGUUAUACAUACUGCCCGUGUUGAAACCUUCUUGGAAAAUGCACAAAGAUAUCUAGGGAAAGAGGCGGCGUUUGAUUAUAUAAGUGUUACUCCUCCAUACAUGCUUGUAGAUUACACAGUUCUGAUGGAUCAGGUUUCUAAUUCAUCGGUGGUUGGGGAGAAUACAUUUAUAGUAGUUGAGUACCCUUUGAGAACUGACAUGCUGGAUUCGUGUGCGUGCUUGGUAAAGAUAGCUGAUCGGCGGUUUGGCAGGACACAUUUAGCAAUAUACGGACCGCAGUGGGCCCAAAAGAAGAGUAAACUGGAGACAUGACUAUCAUUAUUGCACAAAUGAUUAGAAAUUCGUAUGUACUCUGAUGAUUGCGAUCACGUUGCAGCUGAUCAGUCGACUUGCAAUGCAAGUGCAGCUUAUGCUCCAGAUGGAAUUUCCUGUCUGGCCGUCGAAAGUUGAACUUUGCUUAUUAGUUAUUACAGUCUAACCUUGAAGAUCGAAUGUGGCCAUAAAUGCUGGCACUAUCUACGCUCGUCUUGUAAUUUGUGUUCGUUCAAGUUGACAAGAUGCUUUGAGCAAACUCUUUGGAUUGCAUAGAGCAAAGCUUUAGUACGCAAUGGCAAGUCUAGGGUUUCUGUGGUUUCCCUUUUAAUUUCUGUAGAUUCCUUUUCGUUUUGACAUAAAGAAACUGUUGUGAUAUUUUGUUUAGAGAUGAGCCACCAUCAUCUAAUGCAAUAUGCAGGCACUCGACAAGAGAAUUAUAUGUUCCCUCGAGUCCUCGACACGCUUGAAUGAAGCCACACUCGUUGGCUUCCAAGAUAUAGUCUGAGGUUCCAGCUUAGGACAGAAAAGAGGGAUAUAGUUUGUUUAGACAUGGAUGUGGACCCGUACUUCGUUUCAUUCUUAUUAUCCUUUUAUUCUUUCUCGUAUCUCCCCUCCCUCGCGGCCACUUUUUGUUGAUACUAACCUUUAUGAUACUUUGAGUAUGAUUCCAGGAACUAAGAGAACAAAAGAAAGCACAAGUAUGAUGCUCGAAAACGUGGAAUUUGCAGGCACACUCUUGAAUCUAAGGUGCAUACUCUCGAACUCGUACUCAUGGUUUCAUGCUUGAUCCGAUUCUCUCUUUCGCCACUCAUCUUUGCAAGGGAUAUGAAACUGAAGCCUAUAUCUGUGCACUAUACUCGAGUUUGAAUAUUUGCUUGAUAUACAGCUAAGUUUUAUGUCCCUUGAUUGGAAUAUACGCACUCGAAACACUGUUUAAAUUGCCUCUUGUUCAUUUGAAAUUGGUGUUGGGCCUUUUGAAUAAGAAACAAGCUUGAAGUUGUAGAGAUCUUGCUUUUUAGGACCAUAGAGUGUAGGUAUCCCCUAUUUUUGGACAUGUACGUAGCAGGAUGUAAUAGAGAUGGAAACGCAGUUGUCUUUAGACGCUCCAUACGCCUUUUUUAGAGUUAAUAGUGUUUUAUGUCCGAACUUUCAGUGCAUUUCAUAAAAUAUCUCCAACUUUCGUUUUCUCCUAAGAAAUCCCGAACUUUCAGCGUUUUUCAUAAAAUAUCCCGUUAUACAAAAUCAGGUGAUUGAAAGAUGACUCUUCUCAGACUGAUUGCAGAUAAGUUUAGAAUCUUACACCUUCAAAUUGAUAAUUCAAGACUUGAGAUGAGUCAUCUUUCAAUCAACAAGACUUUGUAUAGCAGAACAUUUUAUGAAAAAUGCUUAAAGGUCUACGUUUUUUAGGAGAAAACAAAAGUUCGGGGUAUUUUAUAGAGAACGUUUGAAAAUUCAAGAUUUUUUAGGUGAAAAUGAAAGUUCGAGACAUUUUAUAGAAAACUCUGAAAAUUUAGGAUAUACUCACUCCAUUCACAAAAUGUUGUCCUAAUUUGCCAUUUUGGUCCGUCCACAAAUAGUUGUCCUAAUCUAUUUUUAGUAGGUUCCUUUCUCCACUCACUAAUAUGUGGGCCUCAUUCUCCACUCACUAAUUUAAUUAACUUUUCUUCAUUUGUGGACUCCUUUCUCCACUCAAUAAAAAAACAGCACGAUUUUUCCUAAAACCCCUGCCUCCCUCCCUUAGGACAACAUUUGGUUGACAAAGGGAGUAAAACACUAUUAACCAUUUUUUUAAUCCAUUUUUUGUAGGCAAAUGGAGUUCGACAUAGUAACACAAAAUAAUAUAGACAGAAAUAUAUUUGUGUUUGUGUAUAUAUAGUUUAUGCAUGAAUAAUUUGUGGCAUUUCUUUACCGGCGUAUGCAUGAAUAGUUUGUGGCAUUUCAAACUUCUAUUUUGGUUUAAAAGAAAUAUUUAUUGUAAGAGAUGCUUAUUUUAUUUUAUGAAAAUCUGGCUGGGAAUUUUUA